CGGUAAUGCUGCAAUCAGUUGAUUGUAAUUUUGGAUUGAGCAAACAUUCCCAUUUACAUUGCCCUCCAUAAUUAUUGGGACAGUGAAGAUUUUUUUUGUCUUUGGCUCUAUACUUCAUAAGUUUGGAUUUUAAAUUAAACAACGACCAUAUGAGGUUAAAGUGCAGAUUGUCAGAUUUAAUUUGAGGGUAUUUUCAUCCAUAUCGGUUGAAGAGUUUCGAAAUUACGGCACUUCUUGUACGUAGUGAUGAAUUGUGAAAUGAUGAUGAGUGAGAAAGUUACAGAUGCACAAAUAUCAUACCCCUCCCCAAAAAAUGCUAACCUCCCCUGUUAUUGUAUUGGUGAGAGGUUAGCAUGUCUUGGGGGUAUGAUAUAAAAUGCUAACCUCCCCUGUUAUUGUAAUGGUGAGAGGUUAGCAUGUCUUGGGGGUAUGAUAUAAAAUGCUAACCUCCCCUGUUAUUGUAUUGGUGAGAGGUUAGCAUGUCUUGGGGGUAUGAUAUAAAAUGCUAACCUCCCCUGUUAUUGUAAUGGUGAGGGGUUAGCAUGUCUUGGUGGUAUGAUAUAAAAUGCUAACCUCCCCUGUUAUUGUAUUGGUGAGAGGUUAGCAUGUCUUGGGGGUAUGAUAUAAAAUGCUAAUCUCCCCUGUUGUUGUAUUGGUGAGAGGUUAGCAUGACUUGGGGGUAUGAUAUAAAUUGCUAACCUCCCAUGUUAUUGUAAUGGUGAGAGGUUAGCAUGUCUUGGGGGUAUGAUAUAAAAUGCUAAUCUCCCCUGUUGUUGUAUUGGUGAGAGGUUAGCAUGUCUUGGGGGUAUGAUAUAAAAUGCUUACCUCCCCUGUUAUUGUAUUGGUGAGAGGUUAGCAUGUCUUGGGGGUAUGAUGAUCAUUCUUAGUAAUCUACUGGAGAACCAGUUCGGGUUUAAGUAUGCUUCUGUAUGAGUGAAGCUUUUAGUGAGAGGUUUAAUACUUUAAUAUACUUUAAUAAUUUCAGCCCUCAGAAUUUGUAUUCAUGAUAUAAGUAGGCAUGUUUAAUUUUGUCUGGUUUAGAGUUCCAAAUAAAGUGAAAUAUUUUUUGCUCAUAUGAUUUAAAAAGGGAAUUGUCUGGAGUAGUCGGAUCCAUAAGUAAUCUGGAAUAUGACUAAAGAGUUAAUCAGGAUGAAUUUCCCACCAUGGUAG
rnacentral:lncRNA from 1 species